GAGGCCCAUGAUGAUCGACCAAUAUGUUGCCUACAUUGCUUGAUUUAUUUGUAUGAUAAGAAUGUACUGUGAUUCUGAGUCCUUC